rnacentral:rRNA from 1 species
GAGAACCUACGGGAGGCAGCAGUAGGGAAUCUUCCACAAUGGGCGAAAGCCUGAUGGAGCAACGCCGCGUGGGUGAGGAAGGUCUUCGGAUCGUAAAACCCUGUUGUUAGAGAAGAAAGUGCGUGAGGGUAACUGUUCACGUUUCGACGGUAUCUAACCAGAAAGCCACGGCUAACUCCGUGCCAGCAGCCGCGGUAAUACGUAGGUGGCAAGCGUUAUCCGGAUUUAUUGGGCGUAAAGGGAACGCAGGCGGUCUUUUAAGUCUGAUGUGAAAGCCUUCGGCUUAACCGGAGUAGUGCAUUGGG